rnacentral:rRNA from 1 species
AAUGAACGCUGGCGGCAGGCCUAACACAUGCAAGUCGAACGGGUCCUUCGGGACUAGUGGCGGACGGGUGAGUAACGCGUGGGAACGUGCCCCUUGGUACGGAAUAGCCCCGGGAAACUGGGAGUAAUACCGUAUGUGGUCGAGAGACGAAAGAUUUAUCGCCAAGGGAUCGGCCCGCGUUGGAUUAGGUAGUUGGUGGGGUAAUGGCCUACCAAGCCGACGAUCCAUAGCUGGUUUGAGAGGAUGAUCAGCCACACUGGGACUGAGACACGGCCCAGACUCCUACGGGAGGCAGCAGUGGGGAAUCUUAGACAAUGGGGGAAACCCUGAUCUAGCCAUGCCGCGUGAUCGAUGAAGGCCUUAGGGUUGUAAAGCUCUUUCGCCAGGGACGAUAAUGACGGUACCUGGAUAAGAAGCCCCGGCUAACUUCGUG